CGUCGGAGCCCGAUUUUUCAAUAGUUUGAAACCAGUGUACACAUAAAUGGUUACAAAGUAUUUGAAAAGUCGUGCUCUGAAA
rfam:Caenorhabditis elegans chromosome II